ACUAUGGAGAGGUUACAUACGAUCUGAUGCAGCGCACAGGGAGCCUGGCAGAGCUGAUGGUCUGACGUGGAAUUGGUGCUACAAGGAGCAAGGAGAAUUUGACUGACAGCCUGCCUAGUCCAUAAAACAGACAAAAGUCUUACAAUAACUUGCAGAAAAGAAAAAGAAAAAAGAAAAAAACCCCACCAUCACCACGGAACAAUUUUCCAUCAUCAGCCCCAACCUGGCAAUUUGAUCAGUGCAUAUACAUACAGUGCAUCUAUGCAUCAAAAAAUCACAAACUACAUGUCACGGAAGCAAGGGCGGAUUGGAAACUCUCCUUGUUCUCCUCUGAACCCACC
rnacentral:sRNA from 1 species